rnacentral:rRNA from 1 species
CAUUACCGAGUGUAAAAACUCCCAAACCAUUGUGAACUUACCACUGUUGCUUCGGCGGCCUCGCCCCGGGCGCGUUCGCGCGGCCCGGACCCAGGCGUCCGCCGGAGGCUUCAAACUCUUGUCUUUUAGUGUAUUUCUGAGUGGCAUAAGCAAAUAAAUCAAAACUUUCAGCAACGGAUCUCUUGGUUCUGGCAUCGAUGAAGAACGCAGCAAAAUGCGAUAAGUAAUGUGAAUUGCAGAAUUCAGUGAAUCAUCGAAUCUUUGAACGCACAUUGCGCCCGCCAGUAUUCUGGCGGGCAUGCCUGUCUGAGCGUCAUUUCAACCCUCAGGACCCGUUCGCGGGACCUGGCGUUGGGGAUCAGCCUGCCCCUGGCGGCGGCUGGCCCUGAAAUACAGUGGCGGUUCCCUCGCGAACUCCUCCGUGCAGUAAUUAAACCUCUCGCGGCAGGAUAGCGGUUGAACCACGCCGUUAAACCCCCCACUUCUCAAGGUUGACCUCAGAUCAGGUAGGAAUACCCGCUGAACUUAAGCAUAUCAA